rnacentral:rRNA from 1 species
AUUGAACGCUGGCGGCAGGCCUAACACAUGCAAGUCGAACGAGUGGCGGACGGGUGAGUAAUGUCUGGGAAACUGCCUGAUGGAGGGGGAUAACUACUGGAAACGGUAGCUAAUACCGCAUACCAUCAGAUGUGCUCAGAUGGGAUUAGCUAGGUGGUGUGGUAACGGCUCACCAAGGCGACGAUCCCUAGCUGUCCUGAGAGGAUGACCAGCAAACCUGGAACUGAGACACGGUCCAGACCCCUACGGGAGGCAGCAGUGGGGAAUAUUGCGCAAUGGGCGAAAGCCUGAUGCAGCCAUGCCGCGUGUAUGAAGAAGGCCUUCGGGUUGUAAAGUACUUUCAGCGGGGAGGCGUUACCCGCAGAAGAAGCAACGGCUAACUCCGUGCCAGCAGCCGCGGUAAUUC